rnacentral:rRNA from 1 species
CCUGCCCGCCGAAAGGAUAAGGUUUCCUGAUCAACGCUAAUCGGAUCAGGGUUAGUCGGGGCCAAAGGAGAACCCGAAAGGGAUAUUCGAUGGACAACGGAUUAAUAUUUCCGUACUUUUUAUAACUGCGAUGUGGGGACGGAGUAGUGACACUGCCGCGAUCUGACGGAAUAGAUCGUUGAAGGCUGUAGGUAUAGUACCGGUAGGCAAAUCCGCCGGUGUUGCUGAACGCUGAUAGUACCGCAAACCUUCGGGGGCGUGGAUAGUGCAGGUAAUCAGACUUCCAAGAAAAACCGCUAAGCUUCAGGUUAUAAAAACCCGUACCGCAAACCGACACAGGUAUCCGGGAAGAGAAUUCUAAGGCGCUCGAGUGAAUCAUGGCUAAGGAACUCGGCAAAAUGGCCCUGUAACUUCGGGAGAAGGGGCGCUGGUAGCAAUAUCAGCCGCAGUGAAAAGGCCCAGGCGACUGUUUAACAAAAACACAUGGCUUUGCAAAAUCGAAAGAUGAAGUAUAAGGCCUGACACCUGCCCGGUGCUGGAAGGUUAAGAGGGGAUGUUAGGGUUAAACCGAAGCAUUGAAUUGAAACCCCAGUAAACGGCGGCCGUAACAAUAACGGUCCUAAGGUAGCGAAAUUCCUUGUCGGGUAAGUUCCGACCUGCACGAAUGGUGUAACGAUCUGGGCGCUGUCUCAGCCAUGAGCUCGGUGAAAUUGUGGUCCCGGUGAAGACGCCGGGUACCCGCAACGGGACGGAAAGACCCCAUGCACCUUCACUACAAUUUAACAUUGACAUUGGAUACAGGAUGUGUAGGAUAGGUGGGAGACUAUGAAGCGGCAUCGCCAGGUGUUGUGGAGUCAACGUUGAAAUACCACCCUUUCUGUAUUCGGUGUCUAACCCGGCAAGUUCGGGGACAUUGUUUGAUGGGUAGUUUGACUGGGGUGGUCGCCUCCAAAAAGGUAACGGAGGCUUUCAAAUGUAAGCUCAAUACGCUUGGUAACCGUAUGAGGAGUGCAAUAGCAUAAGCUUGCUUGACUGUGAGGCAUACAAGCCGAGCAGGGUCGAAAGACGGAUAUAGUGAUCCGGUGGUUCUGCAUGGAAGGGCCAUCGCUCAAAGGAUAAAAGGUACGCUGGGAUAACAGGCUGAUCUCCCCCAAGAGCUCAUAUCGACGGGGAGGUUUGGCACCUCGAUGUCGGCUCGUCACAUCCUGGGGCUGGAGAAGGUCCCAAGGGUUCGGCUGUUCGCCGAUUAAAGUGGCACGCGAGCUGGGUUCAGAACGUCGCGAGACAGUUCGGUCCCUAUCUGUUGUGGGCGUAGGAAUUUUGAGUGGGGCUGACCUUAGUACGAGAGGACCGGGUUGGACUAGCCUCUAGUGAAUCUGUUGUUCCGCCAGGGGCAUUGCAGAGUAGCUACGCUGGGAAUAGAUAAGCGCUGAAAGCAUCUAAGUGCGAAACUAGCCACGAGAUGAGAAUUCCAUAUAGGACCGUAGCAGACUACUACGUUGAUAGGUUACAGAUGUAAAGGUUGUGAGAUCAAAGUCGAGUAAUACUAAUCAUUC